rnacentral:lncRNA from 1 species
AGCCUGCACCACACUCUUUUUAAGCUGUGUCCACAGCUCCAGGGCAAGAUGUGGGAACUCUUUUGUGCCCUGACCCCUUUCUCAGCUUCUCCAUUGAUGUCUAACUUCUGUCAAACAUUGGGAAGAGAUGGUUUGGAGAAAAGGGCGUUAAGAACCAACUCCGGACUCUCAUUUUUAAUCAGGAAAACAGAUUGAACAGGCUUUGUGGUUUCUAAUUCAAUUUUUUUAUGACAAGGAUUUCAACCAAGGUUGAUGGAACCAGCAACACGAGAGAGCAAGUCAUGUGGGGAAGCAGAGUGUAAAUCCGCAAUCUGUGCUCAGUAGGUCUCAGCAUUGGGAGGUGACAGGGGUGGGGGUGCCACUUGAGGGCUUCCCAGCAUUGGGAGGUGACGUCAGGGGCACUUGAGGGCUUCCCAUUUUCUGUUUUGAAUAGGAAUAGCAGUCGAUGUUAUCUUAUUUCUCUUCAAGCAUGGGGUCAUGGAUUGCAUUCCUAGCGAUAGUUAACCCGACUCACAAGCACUCGGCAGAAGAAAGAUACUCAAGGAGCUAUGUCCAAGGGACUCCUUUGAGGAACCCCAUCUGUAUCCAAGCCUCUUGGACCUACAGGGAGCAUGGUGCUUUGAUCAAGGAGGGAUGGGUAUAUUUUGCAUAUAAAGGAAAUGCGUGGCUAGAUACAGUCUCUUUUCCCAAUUCAUGUAUUUGUCUAGAAUCUUGCUACGAUCCUUUUAGGAGUUAUACUCCACUCUUCUUGAACUUGGGUGGACCUUCAUAACUGCUUUGACCAACAGAAUAUGGCAAGAGUGAUGUUUAGCAGGCCCCAAAGGGAGGACA